UGCGUAUUGAACUCGGGUUGUGUGGGGUCAAGCACCUUAUUUUACCAACUCAGCUACAUGUUUUCUAACAUUUUUCUAUAUAAAACAAAUUUUUAUCAUGUUUUUGUGGUGUCAGGUGACCCACACCUCUUCAAGUGGGUCUGGUCCGCCCCUGGGUGGAGCUUGCUACGAUUAACACUUUAACCUUUGUGAAAAAGUAUAGUUUUGUGUUAGGAAAGAAAAUGACUUUCUUAUUAAGAAACGUAGAUCCCCCGCCGGUAAUUGAUAAAUUUGACCUUGAAAACCAUAUUAUAUCGACCCACGAGUCCGUGUUUUUUUUUUCUGUUAGAAUGACCACAAAAAGCAAACUAAAUUAACGGCGACUUUUUAAUAGGUUAAUCAGAAACGAUCAUGUUCCAAGGUUUGGAGCCAAUGAAGACACAUUGGUUGGACUGUAACCGUAGAAACUUUACUCUAGAAUUUAGAAUUUAGACCGUAAGAUUUUUUGAUUUAGCUAUAAGUGAUGUAGCUUUAAUAUAUUUCAUACAACCAAAAAGAUGGGGUUUUAGAAAAUAAAGCUUUUAUAGCCAUUUUAUUUAUUUUUUGGCUUUAGCUUUAAAAAACAAAAUAAAGUAUGAUUGGUGAUUUAAAGGAUGUAGAUUAAUAUUAAAGCUAAAGUCAGGUCUUACAGCCCAAUCAAUCACCCAUAUUAUUCAUUUUUUUUCUUAAAUAUUGUUGUAGGAUUCGUAUUUUUCUUAUUUAAACUAAAAAAAAUCAAUUUCUAAAACUCUACUUUAUUAAUUCUCGAAAGUUAUUUUCAACCCCAUAAAUCCAAUAAAUAAAACAAAUUAAAAAUAUAGUUAAAAUCAUAAAAUCAAAAACCUAAAAAGAGAAUCCACUGAUCCGAUAAAAAUCACUCAAGCUCAUCAUUCUCAAAUGAUGAUUAAUAUGAAAGUCACUCAGUAAGAUAUGUGAUAAUAUACACGUAAACCACUAAUUUAGAUAUAUAAUUGUCAUUAUGGAAGUUUAGCUCUAACAUGGACCAAUAACAUGUCUACUGCACCACACGAAACAGUUAUUGUGCUGGUAUUACAUAAGUAGUCCAUACAUCCAAUGCUCUCCUUAUAGGGAUAUACAAUAUAACAUAAUAUGCGUCAACAACAUUAGUCCGUUUUUGUACCCCCGCAAUCAUCCACUAUGCAUCGAUAUGCGGACGUCUCUGCACCUUGCAAUCAUCACUCUUCCUCGAUAUGUAAACCUCUUUGCACCCCCACAACCACCAUCCGACGUCUCUAGUCCCGCAAUCACCACAUAGUCCAUACUUUUAUAACCAUAUAUAUAUAUAUAUAUAUAUCACUUAACAUCAAACAAUCCAACCAAGAGUGAUAUCCUUUAGACAUCUAAUUUCACUUUACAAUGAAUAUACUAACUACAUCGUAACACUCAGACAGACUUGAUUCAUACAUAUGAAACAUGUUUUGAAACUAAACUAUUCAUAUAAAUAGUUCUACACUAGUACAUGAUAUUACAAAAUAGCCCUCACCUUAUCAAUGUGGAAAAAUGGUGUCCACGAACUCCAACUGCUCAAACGAACUCAAAAUCUGAAACCAAAGCAAAAAAAAUAGAGUGAUAACAGCCUUCGAACGGUUAAAGACGGAUAACAUAUGGUCUGGUCAACGUCAAUCGGCCUGGUCAAUGGUCAACCCUGUUAACUCUGACCCAAACCGCUUAACCCUUAACCAUAUUGAAAUUGAAUUGGACAAACCGGUUUCCCUAACCGAAAUUCGAUUUCAGUUAGACCAAAUUGGUUAACCUAAACAAGAAUCAAUUCCAAUAACAAACCGGUUUAACCCUAACCAAACCAAUUCAGUUAUACCAGAAAUCAAUUCUAAUAAUCGAUUGGUUUAACCUAACCAAACCACAAUCAAGUCAAACCAACGGUUGUCUCGGCGGAGUUGUCGAGUCGCCGACUAGUAACCAUUGGCGAGAGGGCAGCGACGACUUAUCAGAAAAUCUACAGCGACGACGUAAAACAACCUAUGAUGGUGGCGCGUGAGAUACACACUUGAAGCGUGCAGUAGAUGGCAACAGCGCGUGAAGUGUGCAGUGGAUGGUGACGGCACUUGAGCUACACGUCCAGAACUGUGAAGGGGCACAAUGGUGUGUGAUUGCGCAUCGUGGUGGCUCUCCGGCUUAGCUUCCUGCAUCUUGAUGAAAUGAACGUGGUGGUGGCCUUCAUUUCACGAAAAAAACACAUAAUACAUCUUCUAGUUAUGUUUUGCUUUUAUCUAAAACGUUAUUUUGCUUGUUAUUUAUUUUUUGUAAACCAGAAUGACUUCGAUCAUCUAGACUUUGUACUUUUCAAAAUUAAAAAAUUGAAAAGAGAAAAAUCAAUCUGAAAGGUGUUUUCCGGCAUUACCUUCGACGACUAAUGGCGGCUGAGUGACGGAUCCACUCUCAGUCGACGGUGGAUACAGUUGAUGAUUCAGUUGCUGUAGAGUUUCAACAUACUGUGUUUUUGUAAAAAAAAAAUUAGGGAGUAUUUACACUCUAUAUACACCAAUAACAUUAUAAUUUGCAUGUUUUGAAAUUUUCACGGUUGAGUUUUCAUAAUGGUAUUGCUACCCUUAUAAUGACCUAAACGAGACCUAUUAGCACAUUUGGUUUUUCAUACCAAUUGUCUUUAUAAUUUCUCAUUUUAAAAUUAUUUUAUUCUCUCUCCAACAAAAAAAAACAGAACAUCGUGUUAUCGCCCCCAAGAAAUGCCACAUAUUAUGUCACCAAUUCUUUAGUACAAUAUUAAUCUAAAAAGAGUUGAAAUUUUGAAAUCCUGUUUUUUCUGUAAAGAUGCUGCGUAUUGUGUGUGCAAAGACGGGAACGAGCAAGUGUGGUCAGAGAGUAAUCGUCGGAGACGUGGCUAGCAGAGCUGGUAUGAAAGUUACUGAAGCUCAGAAAGCGCUUCAAGCUCUUGCUGCUGAUACAAAUGGGUUUCUUGAGGGUAUUGUUUUGAUCUCUGUAAGAGCAAGAAGACCAAAGACGAUGUCUACCUCAAGCUCACCAUCAAGAUUCCGGUACAUGAAUAUAGUAUUUGUUCAAGAGCUUGUCAAUGGAGCAUUAUGAGGUUCUUGAGCAGAUUGGGAAAGGUUUAUUUGGCUCAUGCUCUUCUUGUGAGGUAUAAGCGUGAGAAGAAACUUUAAGAAUUGUGAUCACUUUAGUGGUACUGGACAUAACUUUUAGUUAAAUUCAAUAUUUUCAUGUGAUGUUAACGUUUGCAAUUACUUCUUUGUUAUGUUUUUCUCUCUUUAGAAACAAGACCUUCAGUGUCAUUACUUUAUGGAUUUUUCACGCAAUCCACUUUUGUAUGUUUAAAGUUUUAAUGAUAAAAUUUUGUGAGAUAACAAGCUUUAAUUUUCUUUAACAUUUUUUAAUGAUGUAAUUUUGUGAAAUAACCGGUUAACAGAUCAUACUUGUCGUUUUUGUUAUAGUUAGCCGGUUACGAAAACAAACAAUAUUAUAUUCAAGUUCAAUAUUGGUAAAACAAAAGUAACUUGCAAUGAGUUGUCCUAAACCAACUAACAAUAGACAUAAAACCAUACAAAUAAUAUAGAAUUUCUUAAUAGAGAAUCAUAUAUUACCAACGCAAUGUAAUUAUUCAGCUAUAUUUUCAUUAUAUGCACUCACACUUUUAUUAUCCAGCUACCAUACACUUUAUAUACAUCAGUUAGUCACUAGUUCAGUUAUACAUAACUAUACUUUAAGUAAUAUCCAUUUAUCAAUUAACAUAACCAUCAACCAAUCUAAUAGCCGAUAAUUGUAAAUCUAAAUAUCAGCUAACAUGUAAAGUACGUAGAUAAGUCGUUAUAACCAUGCUAAUUUACGGAGGAUCUAAAAAAGUCACAUUACAACCAUCUGUAAUUUGCAAGAUCGACAAUAUUCAUGAGAUAUAUUUCACCUUCUUCUUAUGACAACAAAAUUGUUAGUAAGCUAACAUUGCUUAAAAUAAAAACACGGAAGAUAAAUACAUAAAAAUAUAAUUGUUAGCCGGAUAAACUCAUUUAAUACACCACCAACACUUAGCUAACUAAACUAAUUUAAUACUCACGUUGUUUGGUACGACGUGUUUUCAUUCUGAUCCUUCUAGACAAAGUGACAUGACUUGAGGAUGAACGUCGGCGUGGUGUCGCGGAUUUCUGCGGGGAUAGUGAUAUGACUCUCACAGAGGCUGACGAUCACGAGAGAGUGAGAGUCUGCAUUGAAAGUGUAAACCUGAGAUGAGAUGUGAGGUUAUGAAUCAAUAUAAUUCCAAUCUCUAACUUCACUCUUAACCCUAGUGUUUGACGAAUAAGUGAUCUUGGGGGUUCCGGUGAUAGGAUGAGACGCGUCGUUUGAGGUGAUAGGAUGAGACGCGUCGUUUGAGAAGGGGAAGAGUGAUAUGGAAAAUCUCCAAAUGUAAAAAAACCAAAAAAAAUAAACUUCGAGAGAAAGAACGAGGGAUCAACCAGU